rnacentral:rRNA from 1 species
GACGAACGCUGGCGGCGUGCUUAACACAUGCAAGUCGAACGAUGAUGCUCCAGCUUGCUGGGGUGGAUUAGUGGCGAACGGGUGAGUAACACGUGAGUAACCUGCCCCCUUCUUCGGGAUAAGCUUGGGAAACUGGGUCUAAUACUGGAUAUUCUGCAAUUGUCGCAUGGUGGUUGUGGGAAAGAUUUUUUGGUGGGGGAUGGGCUCGCGGCCUAUCAGCUUGUUGGUGAGGUGAUGGCCUACCAAGGCGUCGACGGGUAGCCGGCCUGAGAGGGUGACCGGCCACACUGGGACUGAGAUACGGCCCAGACUCCUACGGGAGGCAGCAGUGGGGAAUAUUGCACAAUGGGCGCAAGCUUGAUGCAGCGACGCCGCGUGAGGGAUGACGGCUUUCGGGUUGUAAACCUCUUUCGAUGGGGAACAAGGCCAUAUUUUUGUGUGGUUGAGGGUACCUGUAUAAGAAGCGCCGGCUAACUACGUG